CUAAGCUGUACCUCCUCUGGGGAGACGAUUUGCCUGAGAUGACUCCGUUGUGAGUGGAAAAGACAAGGACGCAUUGUUCAGUGGACGAUGCCAGAAGGAAUAUGCAAAAUGGGCUCAACCUCUUCAUUCCGAGUCUAGUUCAUGGAUCCCCAUUGGCCCACAGGAUGCCACGUGUGACUCCAUCACACUCUGGCCCCUGGCCUCUUAACGGGCAAGCCCAAGUGUGAUGUGCAGUGUUGCAAGCAAUGCCGUAGGGCACUUCCUGGCAGGAGAGGAACACGUUUCUGCUGACUGGUCUCUUCAAGAGACCACACGCGGGCCUUUGGUGCUUGUUGGCACAGCAAGGCUUCUCCAGUCCAUUGACUCCCAUCUUUCCCAGAGAGCUAUGGGUGAAGCCAGCACCGCCAGAGUGAAAAGGGAUUCUGAGUGAUAGAAUGCUUAGGAUUCUGAUGGGUGCACCUGUCACAUUGGAGAGCAAGAUUUCAGAGGCAGAGGGAUUCAGGGGAAGUCCAGGCCCUGGCACCGUCAUGGGAGAAGGUGACUGAACCUCACUGGAAUACAGGAGUUAAGGCAGAGAGUGGCUGGGAGACAAAGGAGGCACCUGUGGGAAUGUGGAACCCCUCCCUCAUGGUGACAGACUCUGGUGGUGGCAGCAGUGCCACCUGCCCAGUGAUGCCUGGUGACCCAAGGAGCCAGUGGUUUAGACCAUCCUGGAGAUAAGAGGCGCAAAUGGAGAAGUAGGCCAUGAGAGACCCAAUCAUCAUGAAAAUUAUUUGGGUGACACAUGGGCAGAGUGUCUACCUGCGGUUGCUGCCUUUCCUGUCCCAAGACGCAGAGACACAGGUAAACCUCAGAUGCCAACCUCUCUGGUGUUGACAGCGCAUUCCAGGUCUUUCUCGGAAAACAGCCCCUUCUGUCUCAAAAGGGUCCACAGAUGGGGCAAGCUGAGGACAUCUUCCCAAGCCAUAGAAAGCAACACCCAGCCCCGGGAGCCGUUGGACCUGCAGGGCUGUAUUUCACUCUUGGACGGCAGUCAGCAGAUUCUUAAACUCACUCCCUAGCUCCUACCCUGGGGCUGCUAUUCUGCUCCUAUUCAAGGCUCAAAUGCCACCUCAUGCUGCUGGUCCCAACUGGGGACUCUGAGCCCCUCAGAGGCAUCUCCCAAAUAAAACCCAACACCACACUUCCGCACACUCAUUGUGUGGAGUGGUCUCACUCCACUGGGCUCUAUCGAAGCUGCAAAUUCCAGAUUUCUCUCUCUUGUGUUUUUGAACCUGUUUGCUUUUGAUUAUGGUUUGGUUUUGAAAGGGAAGAGUCACACACGAUCCAGCUCCCUGUUUCCUUUCUCAGAUGGAGUAAUAAAGCUUAUUUAUAGUGGAACUGUUUUUUUUUCCAUUAUGGCAUAUUUAAUUUUAUUACUCUACUGCCUUGUGCUUUGAAUUACAUAGGGGAAGCAACGCAUAACAGAAUAUUCCGUUGGUUUUCUUUUUUUCCCCUGGGGUAGUUGAUUGUGGAAAAAAAGGAUGUAGCAUCCUAUUAGUCAUUCUGUACCAUGAUGAUUUUUUUGCCUGUGACCAACAAAAUUACAUUUUACACUCGAAUGAACUCUCCAAAUGGACCCUUCUCUUCAACAUAUGUGGACAUAAGAUUCAAAGUAUGGCCAACCCCAUGCAUCACAUCCAAAGUCCAUUUCAGCUGUGGUUGAUGGUUCUCUCCAGGAAUGCAAUAUGCUGCAAAGCACCAUGGUUUGGGCUUCUGAUGAGAAGUUUGAGCAUGCUAUUUAUUUUGUUCUUCUGUCUUUCUAUUCAAACCAUUUGAAAAGAUCACUGAACUCUAGGUAAUUUGGGACAGCCUUUGGUUAGUCACCUUGGCUCCUUAGCUUAUUUCUCCAUCACUCUGGUGGUCUUUGCUUUCUUAGGCUUGGAAAAAGGACAAGGAAAAUCUCUCUCUUUGGAACCAAGGAGGUUCCUUAAUUGCUCAAAUGGGCUUGCAACAGAUAUGGUUGUAUUUCACGUGAAGCUUUUUCACGUGUUCUAAAGUCUUAGGUUUGAAUCCAUGUUUCUUACCAUUUUUGACCAUGUUUUCUGACUAUGUUUUCUAUCAUGUCGGACCAACUAGGUACUUCAGUGAGAUGCUUCUACCUUUCGUUCGUUUCUAGGAGAGAACAUGGAAUCAGAGGGGAAGGUGUUUGCCAUACUCGAAAUCCCCACAAAUUAGGAGAAAGACUGAUCGAACCCUGUUGUUCUGUCUCAACUUCUACAAAUGAAAGGAAAGUGGAUUUUUAGCAACUUGUGAUGCUCUCCAAUAAAGAGUUGGCAAUGCUGAAUA